CCGCUGUUUAUCGUCCGGACAGCCGGGGUCACUCCAGAUGAAGACCUCUCUGCUCCAAGUGGCCUGAUGCGGGGCACAGGUUCCUUUAUGAAACGUGGCAACUGUAUCAACGGCUUACUUGAACGGAAGCGACCAUGUGUGGCCCGUGCUCCACUUACACCGUCACAAAAGCCCUGGGAGGAGCCUGCCCCCCUCGCUCUCUGGUCACAGGGCUCCCAAGCCCAUCCUUGGCCCCAUGGUGGGAGGGGUCUGCCUCUCUCUCCCCUCCUAACUUCCCCUCUGUUCUCUGAGGGGCCCCGCUCGGCCCUCCGGGCAGAGUAGACAUCUUCUGGAAAAGCCCACGUUGCCUGCAAUGCACGGAUGCCGUAGACGCCGGGGACAGUGACAGGGAGCGGCCAGCCUGUACCGGCCGCCGUGUACGGGCCCAUGUUUCCGGGCGUCCUUGCCCGAACCAGCCCUGCGAGGCAGGUUCAGCCCUCUCGCCGAGCAGAGAACAGAGGCAGGUAAGCGAUGCCUGGUGUCUUCCAUCUGCCCGAACUGGGAACCCGGAGCCUGAGACCUGACCCCCCGGAGGCAGGAGGCAGAGUGUGGAGAUGCACAAUGGCCCUACAGCAGCCUCUGCACACGACACAAAAGCACCUUCUAGGACAGAGGACCUGAGCUUCCUCCUACCCACGAGUGCCCGACCCUCACGCUUUCUUUGUUGAGAAGGAAAAAAAGAUCACACUUAAGCAAAAGUAAACCACAGCCUGAUACUGUGCCAACAACAUUAACCAACUUCUCCUCGGCGUCUUUGAAGUCGGCGGGGGGCAACAUACUUGUGGCACAAGGAAAGAGCGAUCCUGUAAGUGAUUCCUUUUCAUCCCUUUAACUUAAUGAAAGAUUAAUGGCCUUGUUA